GCAGCCCCCACGAGCACCUUCAAAAGAUGGCUCAUCCUGAGGCCAGCCUUCCAGCCCUGAACUACCAGGAGGUUCUGGAUCAACUCAAGCAGCAGUUCCCCAGGUUCCCCACUCACUUGACAUCACAGAUGAACAGCGCUUACUACCUGUUCCAGAAGAUCCGGCAGGGGCUCCAGGAACAUCACAAGCAG
rnacentral:lncRNA from 1 species